ensembl:lncRNA
AGAGGAGAGACAGAGAGAGAGAGAGAGAGAUGGAGAGAGAGAUGGAGAGACAGAGAGAGAGAGAGAGAUGGAGAGACAGAGACAGAGAGAGAGGAUCCAUAGGCCAGCUCUAGUCCGGGUGCUUCAGGUCCGUGCAGCCUGAGGAGGGGCCGGGGACUGGGGGGGGGGGCAGAGUGGUCUUCUCUCCCCCUGUCCCCCCAGGCAACUCGGAGCCCCCAUGUUGGUACGGUGGGCUCCCCCUCGGGCGUAGACCUCCCAUUUCCAUGGUUUCCCCGUAGUCAGGCCAACGGUGCUCCCCCCUCCCCGACGCCCGCGGCGUUCGCCGCUCCGCUCGCAGGAAGUCGACGUUUAUACCUUGAAGCACUUUGUAUUUCUACCGUAGCAUAGCGGCAGGGGGGGGCGUGUCCUCUGCAGUGAUUGGCCCCCUCUUGACGAAUCACGAGGCUCCUCUUGUUGUCUCGGUUCAACCUCUGGGAGGUUCAGAGGAGCGUUGAGGACAGCAGCUGGGGGGCGGAAGGAGAGAGGCUCUCCUGAAACAUUGGAGCCAGCAUCUCGGCUGUAGACCCUCACAGCUGACCUGCACUGAAGGAGUUUGUUGUAUGUUUGCUAGUGUUCUGUGUUGGCCACUAUGAGGCUGAUUGAGGUUGGUUAAGGUAAGGGGAGGUAGUGUGAUGAUUAAGGUGGAAGUCCUCUUCUACUGGGUUCUCCUUAUCCCACAAGAACCCUCAACUGGUCUGGUCGGCCCGUUUCAGGUGGUCAGGUGAUCUGGGCAGGUCAGGUGGUCAGGUCAGGAGAUCGGGUCAGGUGUUCGGGUCAGGUGGUCAGGUGAUCAGGUUCGAUCCCAACGUCCCGUAGGUCAUGUGAUCUGAUAAUCAGUAGUGAGAUGGUAGGUCUGAGCAGUUGUAGAGAGAAUCCUGAUGACUGUUGCAGUGCACGGUAGACACAAACCCACAUAAAUGCACACACUGCUACACACACACGCACACACAUAGAGGAGCUGUGUUCUCUUGACAAGGACAGGACAGAUGCAUUUGUGGGUAGGAGACCUGUUGAUGAGGAGAAUGACCUGUGUUUCCCUCCCUAUCCCUCCUCUAUGGCAUAUCACUGGAGGAAAGAGUAGAUAUUACAGAUAUUACACUUAAAGUAUUCACGUUUUGAGUCAAAUGGAGCAGUGACAUGUUUCGGAUCUAAACUGCGUUCAGAAUUUUUUGUCGCCACAGUGAUGAGGAGGUAUGUUUUGAAUAAGGAGUGCAUGGCUGCUCUCCCUCUUUCUCUGGGUCUCUCUUUUUCUCUCUCUCUUUCUCUCGGUCGCUCUCUUCUUUUUCUCACUCUUUUUCUCUCCUCUCCUCCUGCUAUAGACUAAAACACUCACCAUGCUAACGGUAUAGCUCACAUCUGGCUAAAAUAAGCUAAGGCUAACUAGCUUUUUAAACUACACCACAACCAGGAUACUAUUCCUUAAUUUUAAAAUCUUAACACUACAGCCCCUCAGAUAACAUUACCAGGUAAGAUACUAGUAACAUGUUUAAAUACUACCUAUCACUACACAGCCCCUCAUAAAACCAUCACCAGAUCAGAUACUGUUAACAUGUUGAAAUACUCCUCAUAGAACCAUCAACAGGUCAGAUGAUAUUAACAUGUUAAAUACUCCUCACCUGAACCAUCACAAGGUCAGAUACUAUUAACAUGUUUAAAUACUCCUAAAACUCUUCCCUUAUGGAAGGAUGCUUAAAUACUGAUAUUUUUUUAUCAACACAGAGCACUGCUUUUACAUUUCAGGAAGUAUAUCUUAUGAUAAAAUUAUAUUUUAGCAAUAUCUCCAUACUAGAUGCCAAAAAAGCUAACAACUGAUGCUAGCUGGAGAAAGUUUUAUCAGAAGCCAUGUCCUUGGUUAGCAGCGUAGACUAAUUAGGUGUAGUUUCUGAAUGAGGUAGCUAGCUUGAAAUCACUCUUGUUUCUCAUUGGAGCUGCUGAUUGUAGCUGUUUUUCAUAUUCUCUGUUUGUCAGCUCGAUGGACAGGUGUUUACUCACACAACGCACCAGCUACCGUAGGAAUACUCACUACUGAACCGCAGCCUGACCCACCAUCCAUCUGGGCACCAAGGGCCAUCGUCCCUGACCUUGACCCUCAAGGUUGAAAGUUAGAGGUCACUUCUCUACAGUACUGAUUACGGUACUUUAGGAAAGGCCUUAUGUUUCUGUUGACCACAGGUUUUCAUCUGUGCUCUUCCCCCCCUUCACCUGAGAGAAAGGUCAUAUGGGAUAAACUGAGGACAGCUGGGAUUAGGUUAUGCUAGUUGGGGCUAGCUGGGAUUAUCUGAUGCUAGUGGGGGCUAUUUGAGGAGAACUGAGUCAGCAACACAUCAAACUACACACGUCACGCUCUCUCUCUCUCUUCUACCAUUGAUCUGGCCCUCGCUCACCCAACAUGGCUGCUGAUUACCCAGGGUGCACCUGAAAGACCUGUAUCCACAAGUUCCAGUGGCGUAGCCGUAACCAUGGCAACUAUAGGUUGUUGGAGUGUGGGAAAUAAUAAUCACAGAUGGACAGAGGACAGAUGUCCUUAAAAACACAAAGGUCAUCACACUCACAUACACACCAAACACACACACAAACACACACCUAACACACACACACCCCAUACACUCACACACACACCUAACACAUACACACAAACCAAAAACACACAUGACAGACAGACCAAACACACCACACACACACACACACACACCACACACCCGUACAUAUCAACACAUAGAGACACACUUUGGUGGUUUUGUUGCAAUGACUUUUGUUUUCCUGCUUCUCUAACUUUACUGCUCAGUUUAAAUAUCUGUUCCCUCUUUCGUUCUUUCUUUCCUUUCUCUCCAUCUCCUCUCUCUCUCUCUCUCUCUCUCUCUCUCUCUCUCUCUUUCUCUCUCUCUCUCUCUCCCUCUCUCUCUCUCUCUCUCUCUCUCUCUCUCUCUCUCUCUCUCUCUCUCUCACUCUAUCCCUUUCUCUCUCUCUCUAUCUCUCUCUCCCCAUCCCUAACUCUCUCUGUCUGUGUGUAUUCCAUAAUGUAAAUAUUGACAGUCACUCUUAAGUCUGUUGAAUUUAUUCUUAUGUAAAAUAAUAAAAUAAAAGAUUGAUCAUGGAUGAUAUACAAUAUAUUAAUAAAGUAUGAAAUAUAAAAGAACUCUAUUAUCCAAUGAAACAACGGGAAUGUAUAAUGAUGGCGACGUGGGAGAAAACCGCUCAGAACUGUUGUGAUUAUGAUGAUGUCAUGAUGAUGAUGAUGAUGUCAUAGAGAUGACGAACGAGGAAGAUUAAAAGGAUGAUUCUAAAGAAAGACCACCCGAUUGGUUAUUACUCCCCUCCCCCCUUUUCCAACAAUCCUAACCGUACCUUGUAUGCCGCCAUGGCAACCAUACCAUGUCCACAUUACGUUCAUGUUAUCUCGUUAUGCUCAGAUUAUGUCCGUUAUGUUGAUGUUAUGUG